rnacentral:lncRNA from 1 species
AUCUAGUAUUAGAACAUCUGGGAUAAACAAAGAAGCCACAGCAGAUAAAAAUAGAAAGAGCAUUAGCAAAAUAGUUCCUUUUCAAACAUCUAUUUUCAUGUGAAGAAUGUAUAAGGUAUGUUUACCGCCCCAGGCCUCAGAGAGAAGACAGAAACAUCCAUAUAAACUCUUUGAAAAAUGUAGAACUAGCUAUCAAUCGAAAUUAUACAAAAUGGAUAAUGAAUUUACAUAGCUCUAGUCAUAAAUAAAAUAAACUUAGCGAUCCUUGUAUCUAGCUAAUUAUCAGCUAUGACUUCAUAUAAAAAUAAACUCCUGGCUUCCCAUCUCAUUAUCUUCUGCUAAGACACUCAAUUCCGGCCCAUGUGACACUUUGCAAUUCUCAAAAAUAGUGUUGCAUUUACAAGGAUAGCUACAGAGCUAACUUGCAAAUCUGCAUCCAACUUCUCACAAUUGAAACAAACAAAACAACAGUUUAAGAUUCAAAUGAUUAUAACUUUUCAUGAUUUCAACACACAAAGGGAUAAUCAGAGAAAAGGCAUGACAACAACUUCUUUCAAUAUGUUGUUUUAAAGAACUGGAGGUUGCAAGAGAACCUAAAUUUCCAAACAUCACAAAUUUAUGUUGAGUGUUUACAUACCUAAGAGUGUGAAAAACAGUAAAUAGUGAAUAAAUAUAGAUUUGGAGGUAUAAGAAUGAAGCUCGGCUCAAACAAUUCCACAAGACCAACAACAAACAAAUAGGAACCACAGCAAUUCAAAACCCCAAAAAUUAGUCAUACUAUUGCUUGUAAGUUCAUGUCAUUAACUUAAAUCAUGCUCAUAUUACUACUUAAACUACUAUAAACUUCACAACGACAUUCAUACUCAAUUAGAUUCCUGAAAACAAACAACUCACACUCGGAUUCAGCUUUUAAAAGAAAACUACAGAUGCUAAUAUACCAAUCAAGCUUCUUUCAUUCGUAAAUUAAACUUGUACUAGCUUAUUUCGACUUGAAAUCAAAUAGCCCUAUCUUAACUAGAUUUACAGCAGCCCAAUCAAUAAUCAAAGCUGAAAUAGAACCCAUUUAUCAAGGCAGAAAGCAAACAAUGGGUGGAUUUGACAACACACAAGAAAAAUCACUCAUUUUGUUUAUGCAUAAAAUCUAAACAUAGGCUUAAUAAGAAUAAAUUACAUCUUUGAAUCUGUAUUUACUGAUGAUCCAACAGGAUAAGUAGAUUACAUACCUAUCAGCAAGAACAAUAGAAGAAAGAACGACCAAAUAAAGGCCAAACUUGCGAGCAGAAAGAGCUUGAUUGAACAAGAGCAGCUAAACAGUAAUCAACAGCCCAUUGUAUUAAGAUUCAGCAGCUUCUAAGCCCAGAAAAUGCACCCGAAAACAGUAAAGUUGGAGCAGCCUUUUAAAUUUCUCUUUUUCUGUUUAAGUUUUGAUACUUUUUGAGAGUGAAGAUGCAGAAAAUUUUUUAACCUCUCCCUUUCUGUCAGGGGAGUCCCCUUUUUUAUAGGGCAAAAUAGGAACAGCUCCACUCCCAUGUGCCCUCCU